UUGUCCCAAAAGGGCACUGGGGUGCUCCCGAAGCCACCAAGCACGAACAAAACCCCAAAGCCCCAAACAGCAGAAGGAAACACAGACCAAGUCUCCCGGCCCCGGGGACAGCGAGGCUUGGGAUUUCUCCAGCAAGGUGAAGCAGGGGAGCCAGAACCGGAUCCUACCAGCUGUAAACAGCAUGCAAAAAAAACACUUAAGUUAUUGGCCAAAAAGAGGGGGUUUCCCAGCCAGGCUGGGGAGAGAAGAGAACUAAAUCCUGCUGCCAAAAAUUCCAAAAUCAGGAAGCGUUCCCGAGACUUGAAGCAAGCAUUUGCAAACAUACAAAACAAUUACAGAUGCCCUGCUGGGAUGCUCUUGAGCAAGAGCGAAGGUAGGGAUGCUGCACGGUCCUGCCUCCACAUGCCAUGUUUCGGGGCACGUUUUACAGCUGUGAGAGCUCUGGCUGCCUAACGCGGCCGGGACAGAGCGCAGAUGUGGGCCCACGUUUCAGCCUUGCAGAGGCCUGACACUGAAGAGGAGCUUGAAGGAGAAAACAACCUGAGGUGGCCUUUCUCCAGGGCCUGAGCACACUGUGACCUGCUGGGCUGCCCCGCGGGGCUCUGCUCGCUCUCAGGAGUGCAGCCUGUGCCCACCUCAAAGUCAGGGACCUAUCUGAGCGUCACUUUGUAUUUUUUAACCGAGUUUGGGAGAUGUGGUCCCCUGCAGGUUGGUGGAACCUCGUGGAAGGACAGAAGACCAAAGUGAAGAAUUUACUACGGACAUUGUCCCCCUCACACAGUCAGUCAGAAGAGGCUCAGUUCCAGAUAUAUUUGAGGAGAAAAUACAGAUUAUCAACUGCGAAGCCUACACAACCUUUCUAAGACACAACUUGCUGCCGUGCUUUAUCCCAGAAAGAUUCAGGGCUGACCACCCAUCUCACCACUCUCAGGACCACGCUAUUCCUAGAGAGGAAGGGGAAAACAUCUGCCGAGCUCUGCGAGGUGAGCAGUGCAACCUGCCUGCACCUUUAACUCGGAUGUGCAGCCAAAAGAAUCUGCAGAUCGCAGCUCUGCCGCCUCAUUUCUUUAUUCAAACUCUCCGUCCUCCUUUGGGAGAUAACUUGGGCUGUUGUCGGUCCCCUCUGAGAUUGCCUGUGAGGCUCUUGUCCUCGGGGAGCCCGAGCAGCCGUGAGCACUGUCCUGUCUGAUAUCCCAAGAAAUCACAUUUCAUAACACAACCUCUGUUUUUAAGGCGAUGUUUUUAAAAACCUCCUUUCCUGUUUUUCUCGGGAAUGACGUUCAGUCUUCGCAGUCGUCCUGCCCCCGUAAAUUCUGGCCCAAACUCUUUGUCUGACACCCCAUCUAGCGUUCAACCCAGCCAAAUGCAGAGGACUGGUGCAUCGAGGAAACAGCUGACCGGAAAAUUCCCAGUAUUUUUUCAGCUGUAUCAAGCCACUUCUGUAAAAAUAUCCUUUGAACUGACCUCAGGAGAGUCCAGGCAAGAAGGAAACCUGCACGACGCCUCCAGUGCUGAUCCCUUUCUCGAGGCAGGCUCCGGCUGAGCUGAAGGAGAGGUGGCAGCCUGACAGCCCAGCGAGCCCAGCUCCGUGUGCCUCAGCUCCUGGGCAGCCCAGGGCAUGGGGCUUUGGGGACACCCCCCGUAGGGGAGCCACCUGGGCAAGCUGCCUUGGAAUAAGGAGCCAAGAGCAGGAGCUGUGCCCGGCUCGAGGGCAGCGGACAGAGAGGACCUGAAAUGGGCAAUGCCGUGGCUUUCCCCAUAAGCUGCACAGGGCAAACCUUGUUUCAAGAGACAUCAAGUGUUAAACGUGUGCACUGACUACUAAAUAAUGCUGUUCGGUGUUUUUCCAGCGA